rnacentral:lncRNA from 10 species
CUGGGUAUAAAUGGGCCUGUAGUGACCGGGAGCUCAUGUUCUACCAAAGGGGUUGCCAAUUUUCUGAUUUCGAGUGUGGCGGUGUAAAAGAGAAAAGCAACUGCUGCCAGCUGGGAGCUGGUUUGCACCCUCACUCCAGAAGCCUUGAUGUUGCUAGGAGCUGACCUGGCACCAACAGCACGGCCAUGGUGGUGUCCUGUUGAGCAAAAUAAUUUCACAAAAAACAUCAGACAAGGUCACUCUCUGACUGAUCUAGAAAAAGACCAUUCCAUAAUAAAGCCUCAAUACAGAAACAAGAACAUUGUCCAAACCACAAAAAUUACCAACACAAUCCUCUCUCCCACAGCGCUGGAGUGCAGUGAUGCAAUCUUGGCUUACCACAACCUCCACCUCCAGGUUCAAGCGAUUCUCCUGCCUCAGCUUCCAGAGUAUCUGGGAUUACAGGCACCCACCAUCAUGCCCAGAUCAUUUCUGUAUUUUUAGUAGAGACGGGGAUUCACCAAGUUGCCCAGGUGCUUCCUGGUGGUCCUUGGUUGGAGGGUACUAUCAGAAAUGGAGGAGCAACAAAGAUUCAGCUGAAGCCCUCACUGCCUGGGACUGGGACCCUUGACUCGUCAUUGUAUGCACACCUGAAACUGCUUAUGUCGCUGAGGUGCCAACCUGCUGAUGGUUGGAAGCUAAUUGAGUUCUGAUAUUGUGUUGAUACCCUUAAGCAUUGGGUUUACUUUUUAUUUUAAUUAAUUAAUUAAUUAAUUUUUGAGACAGAGUUUCACUCUUGUUGCCCAGGCUGAAGUGCAAUGACACGAUCUCGGCUCACCGCAACCUCCGCCUCCUGGGUUCAAGCAGUUCUUCUGCCUCAGCCUCUUGAGUAGCUGGGAUUACAGGCAUGCACCACCACACCUGGCUAAUUUUAUAUUUGUAUUUUUAGCAAAGAUGGGGUUUCUCCAUGUUGGUCAGGCUGGUCUCAAACUCCUGACCCCAUGAUCUGCUCACCUUGGCCUCCCAAAGUUCUGGGAUUACAGGCAUGAGCCACCACACCCAGGAAUGCCGGUUAAGUUUUAUAUAUAUAUUUUUUUGUAGAGAUAGGGUUUCACUCUGUUACCCAGGCUGGUCUCAAACUCCUGAGCUCAAAGCAAUCCUCCCACCUUGGCUUCCCAAAGUGCUGGGAUUAUAGAUGUGAGCCACCAUGCCCUGCCAAGCAUUGGGUUUAUUUGGUUUUUCAGUUUUUUUACUCCUGGAAUAAGGCCC